UACGAAGGGGGCUAGCGUUGUUCGGAAUUACUGGGCGUAAAGCGCGCGCAGGCGGCUCUUCAAGUCAGGUGUGAAAGCCUUGAGCUCAACUCAAGAAAUGCACUUGAUACUGGAUGACUAGAGGACCGGAGAGGAUAGUGGAAUUCCCAGUGUAGUGGUGAAAUACGUAGAGAUUGGGGAAGAACACCAGUGGCGAAGGCGGCUAUCUGGACGGUUCUGACGCUAAGACGCGAAAGCGUGGGAGCAACAGG
rnacentral:rRNA from 1 species